UACGGAGGGUGCAAGCGUUGUUCGGAAUUACUGGGCGUAAAGCGCGUGUAGGCGGUCGGGUAAGUCAGAUGUGAAAGCCCCCGGCUUAACUGGGGAACUGCAUUUGAAACUGCCUGGCUCGAGUUCGGGAGAGGAGAGUGGAAUUCCUGGUGUAGAGGUGAAAUUCGUAGAUAUCAGGAGGAACACCGGUGGCGAAGGCGGCUCUCUGGCCCGACACUGACGCUGAGACGCGAAAGCGUGGGGAGCAAACAGG
rnacentral:rRNA from 1 species